rnacentral:rRNA from 1 species
AGUGAACGCUGGCGGUAGGCCUAACACAUGCAAGUCGAACGGCAGCACAGUAAGAGCUUGCUCUUACGGGUGGCGAGUGGCGGACGGGUGAGGAAUACAUCGGAAUCUACUUUUUCGUGGGGGAUAACGUAGGGAAACUUACGCUAAUACCGCAUACGACCUACGGGUGAAAGCAGGGGAUCUUCGGACCUUGCGCGAUUGAAUGAGCCGAUGUCGGAUUAGCUAGUUGGCGGGGUAAAGGCCCACCAAGGCGACGAUCCGUAGCUGGUCUGAGAGGAUGAUCAGCCACACUUGAACUGAGACCCGGUCCAGACUCCUAAGGGAGGCAGCCGUUGGGAAUAUUGGACAAUGGGCGCAAGCCUGAUCCAGCCAUACCGCGUGGGUGAAGAAGGCCUUCGGGUUGUAAAGCCCUUUUGUUGGGAAAGAAAAGCAGCAGGUUAAUACCCCGCUGUUCUGACGGUACCCAAAGAAUAAGCACCGGCUAACUUCGUG